AGAGAGAACAUACUGAAGCUGACUGGGACAGACUAGAGGGACCUCCGAGUGGAGACAGAUCUUGCUUUUCUGCCUAGUCACCUGUUCUUUUAAUGGAAGAAAGAGAACCCCGAUGUCAAAGGUCUGUGUCUUCUGCAAGGGUCACUUGUCUUGUUGCUGUGACAAAUCAGCUUAUGAGAGUCCCCAGCCCAGGCAUCAGGAUUGCCCACAUUGGUGGUGUUUCUCAUCUCAUCAAAUGAACCCAAGCUAGGUGCUCCUUCAUAGUCAUACUCUGAACUUUGUCUCUUCAGUGAUUCUAGGACCUGUCCAGUUGGCAAUGUUAAACAUCACCGUUUCUAUCUGAACUGGUACACUUGGCCAUAUGUAGUUGUCUUGAACUGGAUCUACUUCAGGGGUAGAUGGUUUGUAAAGAUCCCCCUUCCCCCCACAAAAGUGGGCUUUUCAAAAAUGGGGUCUAGGUCUAUAGGCCUCAGUAGGAUAUCCAGCCAUUGAACCCAUGCCAAGCCCCACACCGGAACCCCGAGGCUAAGACAGCCCAGCAGUUUACAUUUUCCCAGCCCUCUACUGGUCGAUCUGAAGCAGGAUCUAGGUGGAUCUACACCCAGGCUUAGGUAAGCCUCGGGUAAACAUUUCCUUCUGUGCCUGGGUUUGCUGAUGCCUGUUCCGCUGCAUUACUUGGCAUCUGUUGUCACUGGCACUUGUUUUGCCCCCAAGGAAACAAUAGUUGCCUCGGGGGUGAAGAUCCUGGUUCCCUGCUGGGCAGUUAAACUGCUAGUUAGGACAUCAAGGAGAAGUAAGUUUGUAGGGACACAGUUUGUUACCAGUGCUAUGUGCUGAGAUGACAUGCAUGUAACAGACAGCUCACUCUACCCUGAGAGUCCAUAGCCGAGGACUUUAUGAUCAAACACCAGGAAAAUGUGUGUGGGAACAGAGGAGCGCUUCAGUGCUCAGAGCACGGGUGGCUGUCCCCAGCUGCUACCCCAGGCCUGUUGAUCAGCCGGUUUCAGCCAUGCCAAAGCUCAGACCUACCAAGAGCUUCUCAGAACCCAUGCUUCAACAGCUCCCUGAGGUGUCAUCUAAUCCUGGGGCGCUGUGAACUAAAGGUUCUGUCUUCUGCUUGACUAGAGAUGUUUAUUAAAUAUAUCAAGUUUGGGGGGCUGGGGAGACGCCUCAGUAGUCAAGAGCACAGGCUACUCUUCCACAGGACCUGGGUUUGAUUCUCAGCACCCACAUGGUGGCUUACAACCGUCUCUAGUUCAAUUCAAGGGGAUCCCACACCUCGCACCCCUCCUUCCCCUCCAACGGCACCAGGCAUGAAUGUUGUGUACUGACAUGUAAGCACACAAAACACCCAUAC
rnacentral:lncRNA from 1 species